rnacentral:tRNA from 1 species
CGGGAAGUAGCUCGUUGGUAGAGCACUUGGUUUGGGACCAAGGGGUCGCAGGUUCGAAUCCUGUCUUCCCGA